rnacentral:rRNA from 1 species
AACGAACGCUGGCGGCAUGCCUAACACAUGCAAGUCGAGGGGCAGCAUGUCCCGAGCAAUCGGGAUGAUGGCGACCGGCAAACGGGUGCGGAACACGUACAGAACCUUCCUUCGAGCGGGGAAUAGCCCAGAGAAAUUUGGAUUAAUACCCCAUAGUAUAUUAGGGUGGCAUCACUUUGAUAUUAAAGAUUUAUCACUUGAAGAUGGCUGUGCGGCUGAUUAGAUAGUUGGUGAGGUAACGGCUCACCAAGUCUGCGAUCAGUAACUGGUGUGAGAGCACGACCAGUCACACGGGCACUGAGACACGGGCCCGACUCCUACGGGAGGCAGCAGUAAGGAAUAUUGGUCAAUGGACGAAAGUCUGAACCAGCUAUGCCGCGUGGAGGAUGAAGGCCCUCUGGGUUGUAAACUUCUUUUAUAUGGGACGAAAAAGGGACUUUCUAGUUCAACUGACGGUACCAUGUGAAUAAGCACCGGCUAACUCCGUGCCAGCCGCCGCCGUAA